rnacentral:rRNA from 1 species
GAUGAACGCUAGCGGCAGGCUUAAUACAUGCAAGUCGAGGGGCAUCAAGGUACACGAAAGUGUAUUGUUGGCGACCGGCGGACGGGUGAGUAAUAGGUAGGUAACCUACCUCAUACUGAGGCAUAGCUGGGAGAAAUUCCAGGUAAUUCCUCAUGAGGUUAUAUGACACAUGUGAUAUAAUCAAAGGUAUCGCAAGGUACUGGUAUGAGAUGGGCUUACUGACCAUUAGCUAGUUGGUGAGAUAAGAGCUCACCAAGGCGAAGAUGGUUAGGGGUUUUGAGAGAGAGAUCCCCCACAUUGGAACUGAGAUACGGUCCAGACUCCUACGGGAGGCAGCAGUAGGGAAUAUUGGGCAAUGGGCGGAAGCCUGACCCAGCCAUGCCGCGUGAAGGAAGACGGCCUUAUGGGUUGUAAACUUCUUUACUAUGCGACUAACUAGAUUUACGAGAUAAUUCUAUAGAAUGUAGCAUAGCAAAAAGCACGGA